rnacentral:rRNA from 1 species
CUUUUACAAUGAAGAGUUUGAUCCUGGCUCAGGAUGAACGCUAGCUACAGGCUUAACACAUGCAAGUCGAGGGGCAUCAGGAAGAAAGCUUGCUUUCUUUGCUGGCGACCGGCGCACGGGUGAGUAACACGUAUCCAACCUGCCCUUUACUCGGGGAUAGCCUUUCGAAAGAAAGAUUAAUACCCGAUGGCAUAAUGAUUCCGCAUGGUUUCAUUAUUAAAGGAUUCCGGUAAAGGAUGGGGAUGCGUUCCAUUAGGUUGUUGGUGAGGUAACGGCUCACCAAGCCUUCGAUGGAUAGGGGUUCUGAGAGGAAGGUCCCCCACAUUGGAACUGAGACACGGUCCAAACUCCUACGGGAGGCAGCAGUGAGGAAUAUUGGUCAAUGGGCGCUAGCCUGAACCAGCCAAGUAGCGUGAAGGAUGAAGGCUCUAUGGGUCGUAAACUUCUUUUAUAUAAGAAUAAAGUGCAGUAUGUAUACUGUUUUGUAUGUAUUAUAUGAAUAAGGAUCGGCUAACUCCGUGCCAGCAGCCGCGGUAAUACGGAGGAUCCGAGCGUUAUCCGGAUUUAUUGGGUUUAAAGGGAGCGUAGGUGGACUGGUAAGUCAGUUGUGAAAGUUUGCGGCUCAACCGUAAAAUUGCAGUUGAUACUGUCAGUCUUGAGUACAGUAGAGGUGGGCGGAAUUCGUGGUGUAGCGGUGAAAUGCUUAGAUAUCACGAAGAACUCCGAUUGCGAAGGCAGCUCACUGGACUGCAACUGACACUGAUGCUCGAAAGUGUGGGUAUCAAACAGGAUUAGAUACCCUGGUAGUCCACACAGUAAACGAUGAAUACUCGCUGUUUGCGAUAUACAGUAAGCGGCCAAGCGAAAGCAUUAAGUAUUCCACCUGGGGAGUACGCCGGCAACGGUGAAACUCAAAGGAAUUGACGGGGGCCCGCACAAGCGGAGGAACAUGUGGUUUAAUUCGAUGAUACGCGAGGAACCUUACCCGGGCUUAAAUUGCAGUGGAAUGAUGUGGAAACAUGUCAGUGAGCAAUCACCGCUGUGAAGGUGCUGCAUGGUUGUCGUCAGCUCGUGCCGUGAGGUGUCGGCUUAAGUGCCAUAACGAGCGCAACCCUUAUCUUUAGUUACUAACAGGUUAUGCUGAGGACUCUAGAGAGACUGCCGUCGUAAGAUGUGAGGAAGGUGGGGAUGACGUCAAAUCAGCACGGCCCUUACGUCCGGGGCUACACACGUGUUACAAUGGGGGGUACAGAAGGCAGCUAGCGGGUGACCGUAUGCUAAUCCCAAAAUCCUCUCUCAGUUCGGAUCGAAGUCUGCAACCCGACUUCGUGAAGCUGGAUUCGCUAGUAAUCGCGCAUCAGCCACGGCGCGGUGAAUACGUUCCCGGGCCUUGUACACACCGCCCGUCAAGCCAUGGGAGCCGGGGGUACCUGAAGUACGUAACCGCAAGGAUCGUCCUAGGGUAAAACUGGUGACUGGGGCUAAGUCGUAACAAGGUAGCCGUACCGGAAGGUGCGGCUGGAACACCUCCUUUCUGGAG